rnacentral:rRNA from 1 species
UACGGGGGGGGCAAGCGUUGUUCGGAUUUACUGGGCGUAAAGGGCGCGUAGGCGGCCUUCUAAGUCGGACGUGAAAUCCCUCGGCUUAACCGAGGAACUGCGUCCGAUACUGAAAGGCUUGAAUCCGGGAGAGGGAUGUGGAAUUCCAGGUGUAGCGGUGAAAUGCGUAGAUAUCUGGAGGAACACCGGUGGCGAAGGCGGCAUCCUGGACCGGUAUUGACGCUGAGGCGCGAAAGCUAGGGGAGCAAACGGG